rnacentral:rRNA from 1 species
UUGAACGCUGGCGGCAGGCCUAACACAUGCAAGUCGAGCGGAUGAAGGGAGCUUGCUCCUGGAUUCAGCGGCGGACGGGUGAGUAAUGCCUAGGAAUCUGCCUGGUAGUGGGGGAUAACGUCCGGAAACGGGCGCUAAUACCGCAUACGUCCUGAGGGAGAAAGUGGGGGAUCUUCGGACCUCACGCUAUCAGAUGAGCCUAGGUCGGAUUAGCUAGUUGGUGGGGUAAAGGCCUACCAGGCGACGAUCCGUAACUGGUCUGAGAGGAUGAUCAGUCACACUGGAACUGAGACACGGUCCAGACUCCUACGGGAGGCAGCAGUGGGGAAUAUUGGACAAUGGGCGAAAGCCUGAUCCAGCCAUGCCGCGUGUGUGAAGAAGGUCUUCGGAUUGUAAAGCACUUUAAGUUGGGAGGAAGGGCAGUAAGUUAAUACCUUGCUGUUUUGACGUUACCAACAGAAUAAGCACCGGCUAACUUCGUG